rnacentral:rRNA from 1 species
GUCCACGCUGUAAACGAUGUCGACUUGGAGGUUGUGCCCUUGAGGCGUGGCUUCCGGAGCUAACGCGUUAAGUCGACCGCCUGGGGAGUACGGCCGCAAGGUUAAAACUCAAAUGAAUUGACGGGGGCCCGCACAAGCGGUGGAGCAUGUGGUUUAAUUCGAUGCAACGCGAAGAACCUUACCUACUCUUGACAUCCAGAGAAUUUAGCAGAGAUGCUUUAGUGCCUUCGGGAACUCUGAGACAGGUGCUGCAUGGCUGUCGU